rnacentral:rRNA from 1 species
AGAACGAACGCUGGCGGCAUGCCUAAUACAUGCAAGUCGAACGAACUCUUCGGAGUUAGUGGCGCACGGGUGCGUAACGCGUGGGAAUCUGCCCCUUGGUUCGGAAUAACAGUUGGAAACGACUGCUAAUACCGGAUGAUGACGAAAGUCCAAAGAUUUAUCGCCAAGGGAUGAGCCGCGUAGGAUUAGCUAGUGGUGAGGUAAA